UACUCCUGUCAACUUUAUUGACUCUGUAGGAGCCAAAACCAUUAAAUCAGUGAUAAAGGAGUUUGCAACAGUUGACGUGAAAGUUGUGCUUGCUGGAUGUAGCAGGACCCUUCUCUCUGAUCUCAGGACACUUAAAUUCUUCUGUGAGCCCGUGACCCCUGACCUCAUUUUUCCCACCAUUCAUGACGCAGUGUUGCAUUGUAGGCACUCGAAGGACGUCCAGUGAGCACAAAGACCAAACUAGGUGGCAGAAUAUGGAUCGAGUCAUGCUAAAACAAGUACAAGUACUGUUACUCCUUAGUCACUUUAGUAAUGGAUAUCACUUUUGGA